rnacentral:rRNA from 1 species
AUGUCGUGGUCUUCCCCGGAAAGCAUGCUCUUCGUCGGAGCAUCGGCCGUUGCCAGUGCAGCUCUAGCCUGGGCAACGUGGACGUUGCUCGACGAGUUCAAGUACGACAAACGCACUUCGGACACCAACUACAACGAACUCCUCGGCGUCAAGCCCUUGGACGCCACCGGCAGCCUCAGGACCUUGGACGCCGCCACGACUGACCCCGUCAUCGGCCGCGACGACGAGAUCGACCGCCUCGUCUGCAUCCUCUGCCGGCGCACCAAGAACUGUGCCGCGCUGGUCGGCGCGGCGGGGGUUGGCAAGACGGCUAUCGUUGAGGGCCUCGCGCAGCGCAUUGCCGCCGGGAAUGUCCCCGACACGCUUGUCGGCACACACAUCGUGGAGGUUGACAUGGGGGCCAUGAUGGCCGGGACGCACUGGCGCGGCAUGUUUGAGCAGCGCAUCAAAGACGCCAUCAAGGAGGCCGAGGAGGCGGAAGGCAAGAUCAUCUUGUUCAUCGACGAGAUGCACAUGGUCGUUGGCGCCGGCGGGGACAAGGGAGGCCCCAUAGAUGCCGCAAACAUCCUCAAGCCGGCGUUGGCCCGCGGCCGCAUCCGUUGCGUCGGCGCCACGACCUCCGAAGAGUAUAAAAAAUAUGUUCAGACAGACGCCGCACUUGAGCGGCGGUUCCAGAAGGUUGUCGUGGAGGAGCCAACUGUGCAUGCGACCAUUGCCAUCCUGCAGGGGCUGAAGCACAGGUACCAAGAGCACCAUGGCUUGAAAAUCCAGGACGAUGCUAUUGUAGCCGCUGCACAUCUUGCUGCCCGCUACAUUACAGGCCGUAAAUUCCCUGAUAAAGCAGUUGAUCUUAUGGAUGAGGCAUGCGCCACAAGAAAGAUGCACGCGGACAAACAAAUGACCGUGGAAAUUGUUGUUAGCCCUGGAGAUGUAGCACGGGUUGUGAGCCGAUGGACUAAAAUUCCUCUCGCUACACUUGACCAAGAGGAGAACGACAAGUUGAACCACCUUGCGAAAAAAUUGCAUGAGCGUGUUAUUGGCCAGGAUGAAGCUGUUAAUUUAGUUGCACAAGCAGUCCUACGUUCUAGGGUCGGCUUUGGUCAAAUCGGACAACCGAUAAGUGCAUUCCUCUUUUUGGGCCCGAUUGGCGUCGGAAAGACAGAACUUGCUAAAGCCCUCGCCGAGAAGAUAUUUGACAACGAGAAGGCAUUGAUUCGCUUUGAUAUGUCGGAAUAUGCUGAUAGUGGAUCUGUGUCACGUCUCACCGGAGGAUCUCGAAGCUAUGAAGAAUAUGGACAACUCACCGAGAAAGUCAAGAGGCUCCCAUAUAGUGUUAUCCUUUUCGACCAAGUGGAUAAAGCAAAUGCCUCGGUAUUCAAGGUUUUUCACCAGCUGCUCGACGAUGCUAUGUUGACCGAUGGCAAAGGGCAAGUUGUAGAUUUCAAGAACACUAUCGUCAUUAUGACCUCAAAUAUAGGAGCAGAGCACCUACCAUCGAGAAUUAUGGGCGAAAAUACAAUCAAAUCUGAAAGAGAUCUCCUUCUGAAUCAGGUUAAGAAGCGCUUCAAGCCUGAACUUAUAAAUAGACUAAGUAAGGUUGUGAUAUUCGAGCCACUUUCACACGAUGAAUUGAGGAAGAUUGUGAAAAUCCAGAUGAAUAAUGUCAUUGCCACAGUAGCUAACAAGGGUGUCUCUGUACUUGCAACUGAUGCGGCCCUAGACGUCAUUCUGUCAGAAUCACAUGACCCGGUGGACGGCGCAAGGCCCAUUAGAAGGUGGGUGCAGAAUCAUGUGACCACGAUUCUCUCGGACAUGCUGGUCGACGGAGAAGCCUGUGCAGGCUCGACAAUCUCCAUCGAUGCUGCCGCGGACGAUAAGAGGGGGCUAACGUUCCAAGUGCUGAAGAAGCAGCAGGAGUUGGCAGAUCAAUGA